ensembl:lncRNA
AGACCAGCGUGGGUUCUGAAGACAGGACUCCACGGGGCCCCGCUCCACUGUCUGCCUCUGAGGGGUGGCUGGGUACAGAGGGGCUGAGGGUGAUUGUCAGCUUGGUGUUGUGGAAAGAUUUUGGGCUUUGGAGUCACAAAGAUAUGGCUCUCAUCCGAAAAGACACAGGGUAGUGGGGGUUGGGGAGUGAGGAAGUAGGAGAGAGAAGGGAAAGGAGCCAGUAGAGGGUGUACUAUCCGGUGGGUUACUCUGUGGGUGACUGAGGAUACAUCAGACUUGAGAGCUCUGGGAGACAGUGUAGAAUGUGCCGAGUUAUCAUAGCCAAGGGGUGAGGGAGCUGGGGUGUUGCUCCUCCAAUUCCCAUCCAUCAGAGCUUUAGGGCUGCUGCCAGUGGUGGGAGUGCUAACUCCCCAGCACUCUGGCCUGCUCUGUGCAUGGGGUGAGCAGGCUCUGCUGGCCUGAGAAAGCCCUAGGACAAAGACUUUCAGGAGCUUGCUGUUGGAAGCUAUGGGGUUGACAUGAGAAUGGUGAGUGUUGAGGGGGUAUGGGCAAGGAACCAACAAUGACUGCCACAGGUACCAAGACCCUAGAGACUCGUGAUCUGAUCAGCUCAUCCAUAUGAACCUGCUAGGAACCCAGUGGGUGAUCCUCUCCACCAGGUGGAUUUCUUCUUACGUGGGAUUCAGGAAAGGAUUGUGCUUAUGCCAAGGAGUGAAUGACUUGGGUAGGAUGUGGCAGGCUGCUGAGGGUUGUAGGCAGGCAGGCCACAGUCACCUUUCUGCAGAGUGCUUUUCCUGCCAAUAUGGAGCCUAUCUGGACUGGAUGGUGCUCUUGUGCCCAGCCAACCCACUCGGACAGACAGCCUUGCUGGUUUCCUCUUGUCUCUGCUGUAGUCCCAGGAGGCGUUCUUGAAAGCUUUCUUCUGUGGCUCUUUCUAAUGAAAAAACUCUUCCUCAACCUGGAGAACUGGGCACCCGGCCCCAUGAGGGAAGCUUGGAGGAUACUGCUCUAGUCAUGCUCAUUAUCAUGGGGAUGAUGAAACCAAGACUCUAGGGAAAAUUGGGCAGAGCCCUGACUUGGGCACCAGGGCUGAGGGCCUGAGGGUGGAGCCAACUGAUGGAGUCUUAGAAGUUAAACCCUUCUCUCCCUUCUGGGGCCGAGGGUGGAAGGGUUGGGGAGGACUGCUCUUAGGCUGAGCCCCCUUCUCCUGCCACAAUACUGGGAGCUGGGCCUGGCCUGAAGGUGGCCACACUCUCUCUGCACUGUUGCAUACUCUACCCUCAAAAGGCAGUCCGGGGUAGAAGACGCGGCAUGUGGGAGGGCCUGAGCCCUUCUCUUUCUGUACUGACCCAGAGCUUCAGAAUGAAGCCUCCAGUGAGCAGCACAUGCAUUUUUCAUCUGGAGAAAUGGACAGUUUGGUGGCAGGAUGAUCAGAGGCCUUCUGUGCUGAGUUUGGGAUUCUCCAGGUAACGUUUGGGCCUGGUUUGGGUAGGAGAGUGGAAAAUGAGGGAGGAAAAUAGGCUGGAAGUGGAACCUCCUCACUUAAAGCAUGCUUGGCUCUGCACGGAGGGUCUCGGCUUUCUCACGGUAGGGUUUCCUUUAAUGAACUGAUGAGCUUCCUGGGAAGUGGGCUCAGGUUAUGCUGUGACCUUGGUGUCCAAGACUUGGAGACGGAGCCAUGGCUUAUGUCUUUGUCAUCCUUGCAGCCUUUCAUCUCUACACGGCUCCCAUCUGUUUGGCAGCUCAAGAAUUGCUCUGUGCAACUGGCACAGAACUUUAAUAGUUCUCAUUUUAGAAAGAUUUCAGGCCAACUUAAUGCUCUGGAAGACCAAAUUUAAUGCUGAAAAGUCCAGGGUGACCCAGCAAAUGCCUAAUUUUCCAGAACGAAUCUGUCCUGCUGGACUUGUCCGCUCUCCUCUCCCUGGAUCGGCAUAGCCAUCAAAGUCAUUCUAAUGUUGUGCAAAAUGACAACUGUAAUCGCAGAUGAAUGGAACGAGGUUACUCUGGAGAGGAGAAUCUGUAUGGACGAUGAGUCAUUGGAAAUGUUGUUCUUUGAGGUUGCUUCGCACUUUAUCCCUAUAGGAAGAACAGCCACAUGAUUUAAAGAGUUUCUCAAUUCCAUCAUUAGUGUCAAUUUUAAAUGGGCGUAACUUCUUGUAGGGUAUUUUUUCUCUGUAUCUAAAACACUAUUUGGCAGAGGAACUCCUUUGAAGUCAGACCCAGGGAAGGGGGAGUCUUUGAGAUGAUGUCAGCCCUCUCCCUGGUAUGAUUUAGAGGACUUCAGCUAGAAACAAGGGCCUACAUGUUGUGUUCCUUAAGAUCCCCUUGGCCUGUGUGAUUCUUGACCUCUCAAAGGUUAAGAUUAAAAACGUGUAUAACACUAACCUGAGUAUGACAUCUCAUGUGGCUGGAUCAUCUUUUCCAGCAUCUUCUGGAGGCCUGGUCCAUGGGGACAUCAUGAGUUAGCAGAGUGGCUAGGUCCCAGAAGAACUUGUAUGCCAUACUGCAAUGAUAGGCUUUGUCCUGAGGGCAAUGGGGAAGCAUGAAAAGCUUUCAUGCAAGAAAGUGGCAAGGAAGCUUGGUGUCUUAGAAGGAUGACUCAGGCCUCCAUGUGCAGGGUGAUUACAGAAGAGAACCUGGAGGCACCAAGGCCUGCUAGGAGGCAGUUGUGUGUAUCCAGGUGAGAGAAGACGUAAUGGCUUGGACUAGAGAAGGGGUAAAUAAAAUGCAGAAGAGAGGCACAUUCAAGAAAUAUCUAGGAGGUAAACUUUAGAGAACUCAGGGGUUGAUUAUGAGGUGCAAAAGAAGGGAAAGUCUAGUUUCUGGCCUGAAAAUCGAGUGGGCUUACAAAAUCAAGGCUGAUUUUGGCUUCGCAUUCUUGGGAAGAAGUUGCUGAACACAAGGGUCUCCAAACUAACAAGAGGAAAAUCUUGUGAAAAACAGAGAGAAAACUCUGAGCAGAAUACUGAGAAGAGAAUUCAAACCAAUAUUUUGGACUAUUUUUUAAUCAUCAUUUCCCAGACAAUGUCAUUAUACUAAUUUGAAAGAGAGCAAUACAAUUCAUUUUCUAUUUGUGGUUGCCAGCCCCAUGAAUACUGAAUGGUUUUGGAUUACAAAGCUUCCAGCAGUGGCUCUCAUGCAGUCAAUAGGAUGGAGGGUGAAGAGAGGCCUGCAUUGAGGUAUUGAUGGGCUGUGUACCUCCUCAUGUGUCUCCUGCUUCAAUAGCGUCUAUUUUGAGCCGAGUUCUUUCUGAAGCUCUGGCAGGGUGAGGAAAAUGAACAUUCUUCCUGCUUCGAGGGCUGGCUGUCAGAGUUCUGGAAAUGAUCUGUUGUGACAAAUGGCAAUGGCUUCAGGUUAUGUGGGAGGACUGCAGCCCUCAGAUGGCUAAUUAUCUCUGCGGCUUAAUGGUGAUUGCAAAGGGAGGGGGAGCUAAGCUGAGCGAUAGGAAGACGGCAGACUGUGGACAAAGACUAUUGUUAGAGGUUUCUUGUAAGAAAGCCGGCCACAGUAACUGUAGAUGUACCUCCCGUGAGAAAGGUACCUAGUCUGGAAGAACCUUGUGCUUGAGGCAUGGUGAAACACAUCACGGACAUUGCUGUGGACGGAGUCGUGUGCCCCUCAAAUUCCGAUGUUGAACCCUAACUCCCAAGGUGACUGUACUUGGAAAUAGGGCUCUUAGGAGACACUCUGAGGAUGGACACUGUGAGCACACCGCAAGAAGCUGACUGUCUGCCAGGCAGGAGGAGGGCUCUUACCCGAACCCACCGUGCUGGCACCCUGAUCUUGGACGCCAGCCUAGAGAAUUGUGAGAAAAGAAAUUUCUGUUUUUAAGCCACCCAGUCUAUGGUGUUCCGUUAUGGCAGCCCGAGCAGCCUGAGACAGACGUGGAGAUGAGAGGAUGAUCUAAACGCAGUUUUCAUUUGAACAAAACAAAUCAGCUCUCACGGAACUAAGUUUGGAAUCAGCAAUAAAAGCUAAUUCCCCUGGAUUCAGAUUUUUAUACAAUGAAGUAGCAAAUAUCUUGUUUACUCAGUUUUAGAAUCUGCAUAAAUAUUAUGAGCUCUAAAAGGAAUUUAAAACUUAAUUUAAAUCUGAAGUUGGCAAAUGGCUGUCAUAUUCCUCAUAUGACUUCUGAAUUUUCUCAGUGAAGGGAGAGCGCACCCCUUCCUCCCUGAGUCUGAGCUGUUUUCUGAGACUAAGUGAGAACUGGGGAAGGCCAAGUGCUUUAUAGCACUUUUGUAGCUGUUCUCUGGGGGUAUGUUGCCCAUGAUUCUAUCUUUCAUACAGUCCAGUUUUCUCUCCAAGAACGUGGUAAGAAGACAGGGCGAAUUCUGUGUCGCCUGGGUGAUGGGUGGGGGUGCUGUGUGUGCUUGGCCUAUGGGCUGUGCUGCUUCCUCAUUAGGGAUGUGGCUGCCAUUUCUGUUACCUUCUGGGGAGACAGUGCUGGCACGGGAUCCUUCUGCAACCCGGGGUACACUGCCAGGGGCAAAGAACAGGCACCUCUUCCAAGAUCACUUGGGAAGAACAAUUCAGGAGAGAGGGGAAAAAUGUUGUCUAGAACUGAGCUGUGAUCCAGUGAAUGGAGGACCUGGCCAAUGACCAACCAUCAUGGGACUGUGGGGCUCUUAACCUUGAACUAGACACCUUAGAAGAACACUAGAGAAAGAGGAAGCCCAGUGCUUCUCUCAAGGAGCUCAGGAUCUCCCUGAAGAUACAAAGCCCACAUACAGGGAGCUGAGACAAGCCCAAGCAGAGGGUCCUUAUGGGCUGACUUCCACUGGAGGAUUUUUGAGAAGGGAAAGGAGUGACUUUGGGUCCAGUGAUGGCUUGGGUUGAUGGCAUGCUUACUACCUGGGUUUGGAAAGACCUUCUGGAGAAGGUAGGCUUGUUUGGGUCCUCAAAGAGGGGUGAAAUCCGAGGGGCCCAAGACAGGGCUCUAAUGGCUGCCUAGUUUGUUCAUUCAGCAUAGACUUUUCGAGUACCUCCUGCAUGCCAGGCUGGGCUGUGCACCAUGGGAAGGAGAAAGCAAGUGGCCAUGGCUGCAGGGAGGGAUUCAUUUCUCUAGGUCUGCUGGGUUCUGAAGACCAAGGGAGCUGGAGCCAGAUGAGUUCCUUAUUAAUGGGGGAAGGGUCCCCCAGGCAGUGAGUGCUGCUGUGUUGCAGCUUUGUUUUGUGACAACUGCUAAUUGCCUCCGUCUGUGUCUCCUCUGACUCCAGUACCCGUCCUUCCCGCCCUGUGGCCCAUGUCACUCUGCUUCUCAUGGGAAUAGGAUCCCUGGGGUGGACCUCAGAAGGCACUCGCCAUCUGCAGAAAAACUCUAGUGGCUGUGACACUGCCCUCUGGCCUCUGCUGGUGCACGAGCUUGUGGAGUCCAGGGCUGCUCCACAUCUCAUGCCUCGGAGCAGGAGAUAAUCCUGAGAAGUCUGCCAACUCGGGGCUUCGAGCAGGACUGCCUGCCAGCUGCUGAAGCUGCGUGUAUUGAGCUGCGGUCAGGUGGUAAUGGUGGUGUUGGUUUUCGGGAGCCAGACCUAUACCUAAGUCCAUAAAAGAGUUUAAAUGGGUAAGAUAACCAGGCCUGGGAACUUAGGGGUAGAGCCAACAUAAAUAACAGUGACUACAGGUGUGGAGCCUCUCUCUCCAAGUGGGACAAGAGAUGCUUCUAAUAACUUGGCACAGGAGGAGGCCUGAAAGGUUAUCUUGCCAACCAGUGUUUCAGGGCAAGAUCCCAUGUACAAAUUUCCUCAAUACUAGUCAUUUAACCUUUAAUCAGUGAUGUACUGAUAAAUGUUUAACAACUGGCUUUCUGGGGAAAAUAAAAAAGUCUUGAUUUGUAGUUUGCAAGUUUCCGUGGUAUAAAUACUCCCACCGUGGCUAAUUUCAAGCUAUCAAUACAACAUCCUUGAACACAGAGUUGGGAAGAAAUACUCACAGCUGGCUCUCAUGAAAAAGUAUGAGCCAGAUCUUGCAUGCCUCUACCUUUAAUGGAAUACUGGAAUACCUCUAGUGACAGGAAACUCACUACCUAUUGGUGUGACCCAUUCCACCCAUCCUUUCUUCUAUCUUGGGCCUGUCAGAUUUCAUCCUCUUUUGAGGGCCAAAAUAAGUCUGUCCCCAAACAAAUGUUAGAAAAUUGUAUCAAACCAGAAUCUGUCAUUCUUUUAUAAUAACCAGUACUUUUUUCCCCAAUUCUCAUUUCUGGUUCCUAUGUCUACAAAUAUUUAAGGAAUAGGAGGGAUGUUAGGAUUAGAGGAGAAUGAGUCUAAAAAAAGAGCAAUUUUAUUACCUACUGGUGUUAGAUAAUGACCUUUUGCUGACCUCUUGAUUGUCCAUUUAUUGUAAGUCACCUCAUAUCUAGCACACUAUGUUUCUAAUUAAUUUCAUUCAACAAAUACAAUAGAAAAUCUGCUUGGUGCCAGGCCUUUUGCUGAGCACUAUGGGGAAAUGAAUGAGACACAGUCUCAGCUCUUAAGGGACUUACUGUUUAGUGAGGGAGACACGUCAGUCAAUAUGCUCAAGUGCUCUGUUCUGUGAGAGGGAGGGUGGAGAAUGUGCUCUGGCAGUGUCCAGUUGUGGAAAGGUCACUUCUGACUGCGUUGUCAAAGAAGAGGACGUGAAUGUUAUGCCUCAAUGACAGUCAUCUAUAAAUUGCUGCAAUGUUUGUGGUUUUCUGUUUCUGGGGUCCAUGCUAUGGAAAGGGACCAAUUAGCAUGGCUGACUUCAUAGAGCAGAGAGCGCUUUCCCUGUGAAGCUCUGGGUAGCUUCUGUUACACACAUGUCUGCAGGAAUCUGCCCAUGUUUCAGAACAAACAAGAGAUUUAACCACACCAUUGUUAAUCUAUCAGUAGCUUAGCAUGUGGAGUGAAACAAGCCCAUAGUUCUUGAAUUAGGAACAUCCUCUGGGGCUGGCUUUGUGGUGUAGUGGUGAAGUUCACUCACUCUGCUCUGGCAGCCUGGGUUCACGGGUUCAGAUGCUGAGUGUGGACCUACACCACUUGUCAGUCAUGCUGUAGUGGUGACCGACAUGCAAAACAGAGGAAGAUUGGCACAGAUGUUAGUUCAGGGCUAAUCUUGCUCAAGCAAAAAAAAGAGGAAGAUUGGUACAGAUGUUAGUUCAGGGCUAAUCUUGCUCAAGCAAAAAAAAAAAAAAAGAACAAGAAGAAGAAAAGAAACAUCCUCUGUAGCAACUGCAUGCACAGUAGCCAAAGUCCUUAGAUGUGUUGUAUAUCUCUGUCGAAGUGUAGUCUACUUCCCAUGGGCCUCAGAAGAAUUUUCCAAGUUCUAUACUGCCUGAGUGCAGAGGGAGAGGGAGGAAGAGUCAGCAUCCGUUAAGACUAGAGUGAAAAGUAUAAAAGAUGACCUUUAAAAGCCAGCUCCUGUUAACCAACACAGUUACUCAUGGCCUCCGUGUCGACUGGCGUCUGUUUAAUAGCUAUUGGAUUUGGAGUUGUUACAGUAUGACUUAAACUGAUCCCAUCUCUGACACAGACUCUGACUCAGAAUCUAUAAUUUAUCAUCAAUGUGGUCAACACAAAUAACCAACAAGUAAACUUUCUGUCAUGUGCCGGUUUGAAAAUGGCAAAGUAACCAAUAGAGCAUGCCAAGGGUUUGACUUAAUUCUGCCCAUGUGAAAGCAUAUCCUCCUGCUACAGACGCACCAGGGGAGGAAAGCCAUGUAGAGAGCGGAUGCCGCAGGGUUCCCUGGAUUUCCACAUUCAUUGCUUCUCUCUUUUCUCUCCCUCUCCUGUCGCUUCUUGGAAAGGAAUGUUCCAAGAUCACGAAGAAGAGCAAGAUGUAACUGGCGUCAAGAAGCGCCAGUCUCUGCAACCAGUCAGGGAAACUGGGAUGAAAAAUUGUUGAGGAGUUUGUUUAUUCAUGGUCCCUAACUUGUUAGUUUUUCCGUGUUAAAGAUCAGGGUGAGGAGCAGAAUGAUUUUACAUAAUCCAGGAGGAGUCUUCUUUGGCAAAUGUGUUUUUCCAUCACAUUUUCUCCAUCACUUGUUUCUCCAUCAAGAAAGAUAUGUGAGGGUGCUGAAAACUGUGGUAUGCAGCAAAGCAAACUUCUUUUGCAAGCAACAGAAACUUUGACUGGUUACAGAGUGGGUUAGAGGGCUCGAACCCCUGUUCUUUGUUAAGGCAGCAUCCUCCGCCUCCUGUCAAUUUUAAGGAAACCAGUUGGAGACACUCUACUGAACAGGGCGGUCACAGUGCCAGGGCUGCCCUGGGUGUUUGGACUGUAUUCGUUCUUGUAUCUAAGUACCUUGAUUCCUAGUGCAAAAAAAGCCCAAAUUUAGAUCAAGAAUGAGCAUAUUUUUCAUCUCUUACUCUAUUUCAUCAAUUUUAGAAUGCAGAUUUCCCCUAUUUUAACAUUUCUGAAAUUAGUGGCAUUGUGCAGUGACUGUUAGCCAAAAAGCAGUCGUGACG